rnacentral:rRNA from 1 species
AUGGACGCCGUCGACUCCGUGGUGGACCCCCUCCGCGAGUUCGCCAAGGACAGCGUCCGCCUCGUCAAGCGCUGCCACAAGCCCGACCGCAAGGAGUUCACCAAGGUGGCGGCGCGGACGGCGAUCGGGUUCGUCGUCAUGGGGUUCGUGGGGUUCUUCGUCAAGCUCAUCUUCAUCCCCAUCAACAACAUCAUCGUCGGCUCCGGCUAG